GACGAACGCUGGCGGCGUGCUUAACACAUGCAAGUCGAACGGUAAGGCCCUUCGGGGUACACGAGUGGCGAACGGGUGAGUAACACGUGGGUGAUCUGCCCUACACUUCGGGAUAAGCCUGGGAAACUGGGUCUAAUACCGGAUAGGACCCUGGGAUGCAUGUCCUGGGGUGGAAAGCUUUUGCGGUGUGGGAUGGGCCCGCGGCCUAUCAGCUUGUUGGUGGGGUGAUGGCCUACCAAGGCGACGACGGGUAGCCGGCCUGAGAGGGUGACCGGCCACACUGGGACUGAGAUACGGCCCAGCCUCCUACGGGAGGCAGCAGUGGGGAAUAGUGCACAAUGGGCGCAAGCCUGAUGCAGCGACGCCGCGUGAGGGAUGACGGCCUUCGGGUUGUAAACCUCUUUCAGCACCGACGAAGCGCAAGUGACGGUAGGUGCAGAAGAAGGACCGGCCAACUACGUGCCAGCCGCCGCCGUAA
rnacentral:rRNA from 1 species